GAAGCUUUUCAACAUGAUAAAUGAACUGCCUACAAUAUAUGAAGUAGUGACUGGUGCCUCAAAGAAACAACAGAAAGAAAAAUCUUCUGGCCAUAGUGGCAAGAAAUCCAAGUCAAAUUCCAAGGCGAGGGCACAAGACUAUCAGGAGAAGUUAGCAAAGUUGCAGGCUAAAGAUGAAGAGGAGGAGGGUUUGGAUGAGCAGGAGGACGAGGAUGAGCAUGGCGAGACACUGUGUGGUGCCUGUGGAG
rnacentral:misc_RNA from 1 species